UCUUCUCUUGUCCUCUAGCACUGGCGAAUUUACACUCCUUUGUAAUGCUGCACCAUUCAACGUUUUGCUAGAGGAUCGAGAGGAUGUUGCACCAUUCAACUUUUGUUUGAGGAUUGACAAGGCGUAGCUCCAUUCAAAUUUUUGUUUGAGGAUUGAGAAGGUGAUGCUCCAUUCAACUUUUUGUUUGAGGAUUGAGAAGGGGUUGCUCCAUUCAACUUUUUGUUUGAGGAUUGAGAAGGGGACACAAAUGACCCAGGAACUAGUUUCUUGCGUUGUGCCAAAGGAGUAGUAUUACUUCUUUGAGUUGACAUUCCAGUCACCUUCUUUACUGAUGGUUGAGAUGGAGUA
rnacentral:lncRNA from 1 species